AGUCAUUGGAGGGUUUUGAGCAG
rnacentral:miRNA from 1 species